rnacentral:rRNA from 1 species
UGAGGAAUAUUCUGCAAUGGGCGAAAGCCUGACAGAGCAAUACCGCGUGAGGGAUGAAGGCUUUCGGGUUGUAAACCUCUUUUCUCAAGGAAGAAGAUCUGACGUUACUUGAGGAAUAAGCAUCGGCUAACUCUGUGCCAGCAGCCGCGGUAAUACAGGGGAUGCGAGUGUUAUCCGGAAUUAUUGGGCGUAAAGCGUCUGCAGGUGGAUUUUUAAGUCUUUUGUUAAAUAUUUAAGCUUAACUUAAAAAUUGCAAAGGAAACUAAAAUUCUAGAGUUUGGUAGAGGUAAAGGGAAUUUCCAGUGGAAUGGUGAAAUAUAUAGAUAUUGGAAAGAACACCAAAGGCGAAGGCAUUUUACUGGGCCAUAACUGACACUGAGAGACGAAAGCUAGGGGAGCAAACGG